rnacentral:lncRNA from 1 species
GAGAAGAAAUAGCGCAUCAAUGAGAGAAGUGAAAUUCAAUUUUUUUUUAGCUACAUGAUUGGGAUCCAAAGGUGCUGCCACGUAAACACAACAAAAAAUUAGCUACAGAGUAUGUUUAUUUUUUUCCCAUGGAGAAUCAACAUUUACCUGUCAAACAAUGGUAUUAUAGCAAAGUGUAGACAUUGUUGUGAGUCAUUUCUUGAUGAACGUGAGAUAAGAGUUGCGGGUAGGACAAAGGAGGCUCAGUAGAGUAGUAUAUAUAUAGGGAGAGGACAUGAUAUAUGAGAAGAUGUAUGGUGCAUUGGAAUUACGCAUUUAUUAUUUAAUGUAGGUGGAAGAUGAAAGUUCUGGUAUGCCUUGGGUUAGUGGAAGAGGUUUGGAAGAAAAUUUGAAUUUGAAUAUCAACAUUUAAUGUACUUAGUAAUCAGUGUGAUUAGGUCAUAGUUGUAAACAUUUAGUGGGAGAUUUGAAAUUCAAAUUCUGCAUUNAUGAAAUAAAAUUUACUUUUUUUGAAUUUUUAUUGCUCAUAAUGAAGAAUAUUGAUUAUUUUUUAUGAGAAAAUGUUAAAAAUUUAAUAUAAUUCAUAUAAACAAUGAAAUGAUGUUUUUUUUUCUCAUGAGAUGGUGUUUUCUAAAAUAUAAAUAAUGACAAAUAACAACUUAUUUAAUAAAAUAUCAUUAAUUUAUAAAUUUAUGAAGCAGAGUACCGAUACACCUCAAUUUGUGAGGUGUACCGUAGAAGCUCCCUUAUUACAAACUUUGAUUAAAUGGAAAUAAAUUAUUAAAAAAAUAUUCCAAGCAAAAUGAUUAGAUGGAAAAAAAAUAUUCAACAAUUUUUAUUCCAAGCAGAAUAUUUUUUUUUGACAAAAAUAAAUAAUAUUCAUUCAUUCAAAUUGAUAGAGUACAUCGAUACAAUACAAAUUCAAAUUUGCUAAAAACAAAAAUGACGAAUCCGUGAACAAACUCACAACAUCCAUGUUAAUAACAUAAAACGGCAAAGUACUUAUGUCUACAAAUAUGAUUAAUAUGACUACAUUCAUGUCUCCGAAGUACUCAUGUCUCUGGAUCUGCAAUGUUUACCACGCCAAAAUCAUUGUCAUUGAUCGGAUCUGCAUUUGCUCAAAGUUAAUCUUUUAACCUGAAUCAAAUAAACACUGCACUAAGACGGAAAAUAAAAAACACACCGCACAAAGACGGGAAAUCAAAACAAGCAAAGUCGUUCAGAGACGACGAAAUCACAAAAACAAACGAAAGAAACUAGAAAAUAUGUGAAACCACUUAUUCAAUUAGGGUAGAAGGAAAAAACAAUUCGGAAGAAUGAUUUUUUUAGGUCAAAAUUAACUCUAAAUCACCCCUCUAAAAAGAAGAAGAAGAAAAGGGGUGACGGCUUGGGUUUGGAAAGGAGAGAAGAGAGAGGAAGAAAAGGGUAUUGUAAUAUAUUUCAAGUAGAACUUUUUUUUAUCUAGCAGUAGUAUUUUUAGAUAGAUGAAAUUAUAAUUGCCAACACAAACUCACACGACAUGCGAAAGAGUCGUGGUUUGAAUUCUGAUCACGACGUUUUGCCUAACAAUUUAGACAUUUUUAACAAUUGAGAUAUAAAUUUACAAACUUAACUAAAUGAAAAAAUGUGUGUAUUUACUUGUAGAAUUUUUUUUCUAAUAACGAUAGAAUUUAAUUAUUUCAUAUACUCUCUAUGGAUCUUAAAUAUUUUUCUUUUGAAGAAGUUAAACUAAAUCAUCGAAAUUGAAAUCCGAAGAAAAAUUAAUGUAAAUAUCGGAACAGGUAAGAUCACAAUCAACAAUAAAAUCCUUCUCUUAAGAGAUUUAAUAUUGAUUUGCUUUUUUUUUUGUUAGGUAGCCUAGCGGCUAUAAUUCACAUUAUAAGAUGAAUAAGUAGGAUGUCCGAGGUUCGAAUUCCGACCAUUGCAUAUAAUAAUGCAUUGUCCUAUCAACCGAGCUAUGCUCACAUGACAUAUUGAUUUGCUUUUGAUUCUUUUUAUCAAUUAAAAAUUGUGUGGAUCCCACCAAAAUAUAUGACUUGUGUAUCAUACUGGUUGAAUCCAUAUAAAUUUAAUUGAUAAAAAAGUGUGUAUUGAAAAUAUAAUCUAAGAGUGUGUUGUUAAUAUUAUUCUAAUUUUUAAAGUUUAAACAUGUGGUGGGGUUAUAUAAUUUUCACAAAUCGAAUGUCCCAAAAAACAACAAAUUUUUAAAUUAAAAAAAAAAAAAAGACUUAUAUUUAUGAGUUACACCAUUAAUUUCCAGUUACACACUUCUCUCACACAAAUUAAAUAUCUUAAUUCCCAAAAUGCCAUUAAACCCAAUUUAAUUACCUUUAUACAAUCCCAAUUCAAGCUUUACACACUAACUCAAUUCAAGGACAAUUUAGUCAAUUCAAACUUCUCAAUACCUUACAAGGGGUGUAACAUAGAAUCAUGUGGGUGAAACUAGUAGUUUUCAGUAGAUAGAUAUACUCAAACACUGACACCAACAAAACAACCAAUAGAAACCACUCUGUUCUUCCUCUUCCACAAGAUUCCACUUCUUCAAUUCUACACAUUUUUCUAUAACACCCAUUUCCACAUUCAAUAAUUUCACUGAAAAAUUCUUUAUCUUUUACAUCUUCAAGCUCCAACUUUUUUGUUGAAUUCUGUGAAAUAAUUCAGUUUAUACAACACUAGAAGCUUUCAUGAAUAUAUAGAUUUGAUUUUGAAUAGAAAUGGCUUGUUUUUCUUUACCUUGUUGUACUGGGUCAUUUUUGACACCAAAUAGGUUAAAAAUUAAGUUUAAUCAAUGCUAUAAUUUUGAAAAUGGGUUUUUAUGGAAUAAGAAAUUUGAGUAUUAUGGUAGAAAAAGUAGAAAUUUUUCAUUGAGGUUUCAACAAAAUAGUGUUGGUAAUGAAAUUGAGCCACUUGUUAGUAGUAGAAGUAGGGAUGAUAGGAAGAGUGAUUAUGGUAAAGGGGGGCGUGGUAACAGGUUAAAGAAGAGAUUUUCGUUGAGAUUGCGGCCAAGGUUACGGUUAUUGGUUAUGAGGAUGAAAAGGGCUUCUGUUGAAUCUGUUUUCAAUGAGGUUGGAGUGUUUGUUAGGAAGAAUAUUAGGACGGUGGCGUUUGCUACUUCGUUUUCGAUUGUGUUUACACUUUGUUUCUUGUUUUUGAAAUUUACUUCACUUCCGCCUGUGAAAAUGGUUCCGUAUUCGGACUUGAUUGCGAGUCUUCGAAAUGGAAAUGUGGAGAAAGUUUUAGUUGAAGAAGGGUCUCGGCGUAUAUAUUACAAUACGGUUUCUGAUGAAGAAGAAUCACAACAAGUAGUAGAUGUUUCGAUGGAUAAGGAUAUAGACGAGGUUGUGAGUGAGAAUGCUGUAAAAUCUGGUGGAAUUCCUGUGUUGAAUAAAUUGAAGAAAUUCUCUAAGAGACGAGCUUCAGUUCCUGAGUGGCAGUAUUCCACGAGAAAAAUAGAUCAUGACGAAAAAUUCCUUCUUAGUUUGAUGAGGGAAAAGGAGGUUACAUUUAGCUCGGCUCCUCAAUCUGUGUUAGCAGCGAUGAGGGGUACUUUGAUAACUGUGAUCACACUGUGGAUACCUUUGAUUCCGUUGAUGUGGGUUCUAUAUCGUCAACUUUCUGCCGCUAAUAGUCCAGCGAAAAAGCGGAAACCUAAGAGUCAGACAGUUGGAUUUGAAGAUGUUCAAGGUGUUGAUUCUGCAAAAGUAGAACUCAUGGAGGUAAUUAUUUCUGAAGUAGUAUUUACAAUAAUUUUGUAACAGAAAUAAUUUUGCUGUAUUGAUAAUUUUGCUAAUGAUAUUUAUCUCAUUAGGAAUUUCUAGUAAUUGAUCUAUUGGAAGUUGGGAUUAUAGAUAAGUGGUAGAUGACAUGGUACCAAAACAUAAAAGCUUUGAGUAUCCGAAGUAAAGAAAGUUCAACUAACUUCUUGAUUUUGGAUUUUUGAGACGUGGAAUGGUUGUACUUAUAUUAUAGAAUAUAGAUUAUAUCAUUAUUUCCUGAUAAUCAAAUUCAGAAUUCUAUAUCGCAGAACAAUAAUUAAGUUCAAAUCCAUUUGAUUAUUUAUCCAGGUUACUUAGUAGUUAUGCUAAAAGGUUGUUUUUAAAGCUACCCUGCUCUCAUGGUUAUAAGGGGUAGCACUUGUGUGACAUAAGAGUUGGGUGACAUUGGUGACAUAUAGUAUAGCCUGUGGCAUUUAGAUGCAUUGUCACAAAAAUAACCCUGAUUGCAUCAAAAUAUUAGACUUUGAAAUGUUUGAUAUGCAUGGAGUAUUCACUGAUUUCCAUUCUGUAUUGCUUUGAGAUUUGACCAUUGCAUCUGAUAAAACAUAUUAGAGAGAAACUAAAUGUUUGGAAUAGUUAUGGAGGGACAAAGGAAGAGAGGGAGAUAAAUAGAAAUAGAAACAAGAAUAAAUCUUCAAUUUGGUCCAUAAACUCUCACCUAUGAAGCACAAACACGGACACCGGACACCAACACGCCGACAUGGAUAAUAAUUUGAGAAAAUGAUAUAAUUCAAUGUAAUGAUAGGUGUCGUGCCGUCCGUGCUUUAUAGACUAUCACUCUCUCUCCUAUUUGGUCCCUGAAAUUAUUCUCAAUCUAUCAAGUUAGUCCUUGAACUAUCACUCUCUCAUAUUAUAAAAGCAACUGAAGGACUAACUUAAUGGAUCGAGAAUAAUUUAGGGACUUUUUAUUAUAUUCUAUUGUUUAGAGACCAAGGAGAGUGAGAGUUCAGGAACCAAAUUGAAGGUUUACUCUAGAAAUAAUGUUAAAAGGUAAGGAUGAAUCAUGGAGAUUGGAGGAAUAUUACAUCAUAAUCUGUCAAUUAAUAGCAUCUAGAGUGAGUAAGAAAAUGGCCAUGCCUUUUUGUUUUGAUCAUUUCUAAGUUUGGUAAACCUUUUUUGUCCAUGGUUAAUCAACUAAUUGUUUUCCAUAGAUUGACACUUUCCUUUAUUUGUAGAUAGUUUCAUGUCUGCAAGGAGAUAUAAAUUACCAAAAGCUAGGGGCAAAGCUACCCAGAGGAGUGUUGCUAGUCGGUCCUCCAGGAACUGGCAAGACAUUACUUGCACGUGCAGUAGCGGGGGAAGCAGGUGUACCCUUUUUCACAGUAUCUGCUAGUGAGUUUGUAGAAAUGUUUGUUGGAAGAGGUGCAGCUAGAAUCAGAGACCUGUUCAGUAGAGCAAGGAAAUUUGCACCAUCAAUCAUAUUCAUUGAUGAACUUGAUGCGGUUGGUGGCAAGCGUGGAAGAGGCUUCAAUGAGGAACGGGACCAAACGCUAAAUCAGGCAAGUUUAGUCAUCAUUUUGUAUUUCUUUUCUAGCAACAAUUUAUUGAACUCAUAGUUAUCAAUAUCAUAUAAUGCAUGCGAGUCGUAUCUUUAUUCGAUACUAUACUGAACUCAAUCGAUAUGAAUCUCUGGUGUGUAUUUUUUGGGACAUGAAUCUUGUCUUGAAUGUUGAUUCAUUAUGAUGGAUCCCGAUUCUUUUUUAAGCUUCUACUUAAACUUGAUGUAGCCAACCACUUUUUUUAUGUCUGUAUAACCAAUCAAUUUUCUUAUGUCAUUUGAUUUAUGAUUUGAAUCUUGAAUUACUGUAAAGUUCGCAUAUGAUAUAUCAGCUUAUAAUUUUUACUUAAAAAUGACAGGGGUUUAUUAGUAAUGUAUUCUAUAAUUCAUAAUAAGACUAGACUAUGCACCCGUGCUGCCGCACGGGUCAUAUACAUUGUAUAUCUAGUAGGCAAAAACAAAGUUUAAUAGCUCAAUUACAAUUUAUAGUUUUAAUGUCAUUAUUUUUUAGUACUCUGUUCAUCUCAAAAUAAUAGUCUUUAAGGUUUGUUAAGAAAUCAGUUUGUAUUCCAACUAUAAUGGCCAUUGGGAAAAUGAAACAUUAGUGGCUUAUAGCAUCUACUAAUCACAUGGUAUGGUAUAGGAAACAACAAUCUUGUGCUUUGAUUAAUACACCUUGGAGAUGGAGUUUAGAAGCAUAAGAUACAGAGUCAUUUAAGAUAAAGACAUCCUUGCACGCAAAACGAACAGCCACCAUCCGACUCAUUUCGUAGAAGCACAACAUAUUAAGGAAUUUUAAUCUAACAUGUUUAUUGCUGAUUACAAUCCAUGUCAUUACACUAAGGUCUUCAUAUGAUCACACACACAAUAUAAGAGUUAAUAUUCUAGGUUGUUAUUACUGAAUAGGCUAGUAAUUUAAUUAUGGCAACAACACUAUGCUAUAUAAAUAAUAUAAGUGUAUUCUUCAACUUUCAACUUGCCAAAACAUUUGCAUUAAUCCUCCAAAAAAGAAUAUUAUCACCAAAGCAGAACCAUAACAUUUUAGUAUGCCACAAUAGGGUAUAUUUUUCUAAAUUUCCAGAAGAGUCUGAGCCCUUUCAACUUCUGUAGUAGAAAAUUGACAUGUAUAUUAUCAACUUAUUAACUCAAUAUUAAUCAGAACAUAUUAGAUAAAAUAAGAUUGGAAUUAUCCAUCGUAAACCAUAGAUAGCAACAAAUGAUCCAUUACACCACAAAACAUCCAAUACAUCCACAAAACCUUGACAGACAAGGAUCUAAAUAAAAGAUGCCAAAACAUAACGCUUGUUGUGUGAGCUGCGGGUAGAACAAAAGCAACACAUUCGUCAUCACCACCGUCACUGUCGUCCUCACCCUCCCUCAUCUCCAUAUUUGUUUUCUUUGCCUCACACUCUUCUCCAAAAAACAACAACAACAACCUUUUUUAAACAAAAAAAAACCCAAAACAGCAAUAUUUUCACAUAUGUCGGAAUGAAUCGACGGCGAAAACAGAGAAGGCGGCGAGGGAGAGAAGGCAGAGAGAAGAAAUAGCGCAUCAAUGAGAGAAGUGAAAUUCAAUUUUUUUUUAGCUACAUGAUUGGGAUCCAAAGGUGCUGCCACGUAAACACAACAAAAAAUUAGCUACAGAGUAUGUUUAUUUUUUUCCCAUGGAGAAUCAACAUUUACCUGUCAAACAAUGGUAUUAUAGCAAAGCGUAGACAUUGUUGUGAGUCAUUGCUUGAUGAACGUGAGAUAAGAGUUGCGGGUAGGACAAAGGAGGCUCAGUAGAGUAGUAUAUAUAUAGGGAGAGGACAUGAUAUAUGAGAAGAUGUAUGGUGCAUUGGAAUUACGCAGUUAUUAUUUAAUGUAGGUGGAAGAUGAAAGCUCUGGUAUGCCUUGGGUUAGUGGAAGAGGUUUGGAAGAAAAUUUGAAUUUGAAUAUCAACAUUUAAUGUACUUAGUAAUCAGUGUGAUUAGGUCAUAGUUGUAAACAUUUAGUGGGAGAUUUGAAAUUCAAAUUCUGCAUUAAAUGAGAUUGGAAGCCAGAUUUCCCGCUCAAAAUCUAGGUUUAAGGUUUUGAAAGGCUUGUUUACAUUGUACAUUAGGAUUAGAUAAUAAGGAUAAGGAUAAGGAUUUGAUUCAUGAUUCGGAAAAUAGGCCUUUUGAUAACCAUGGUCAAAAUGUUUAGAAGUCCAGUUUCUUUAUCAGAUUAUUUCAUAGCAUUAGACUUGUAGUAUAUACUUUCUACAUGGAAAACAAAUAUUCCAUAUGUUCAUUGGAAUUUAAGUAAAAUAAUUCAUGUGCUCUCAAUAGUGUUGUUAUUUGCUCUAAUCCGACC